AACCUUGCUUAAGACAAAGAGCUCUCAGAGCUGAAGCCACAGUUGCAAAAUUGAAAGAAGAAGUGAAUAUAUUAAAGACAGAGUCAAUUCCUAUAGCAACAUAUAACCAGCUGUUAGAUGCCAAUCAUUAUACAAUUACAGCUGUCAAAGAUAAAUCAAAAGCUGCUGCUCAUCAAAUGAAAAUAGCAGUGAAAAAUGCCAAGCAAGCAGUAAGAUGUGUGCUUAUUUGUAUAAUCAAGCUUGUCUACUUGUGACAAAAGAUCCCUUGUUUUCAAUCUUGGUGUAAGGCAACUGCUUGUUGGAGUGGAUACACUGAAGUUCGUCUCACAACAGCUUGAGUCUAUUGAUAGAAUAACAGAUGUUCAUGUGCAUUCAGAGAAGAGUUAACCCUUUGCAGCGUAACAUUGAUAUCCUUAUUUUCCAUUCUCUUUUCUAUGCAUUUCCUCAAGACAAAGACAAUGAGAACUUGUUUUGAAAUCAAAGUUAUUUAGGGUUGGCAGUCAUUUCCUUUAUUCUGAUGAUUUUAAUGAAUGGUUCAACAUGAUCACUGUUAGGGUCUCAAGGUUUAAUACAGAGUGGUAUACACUGGAUGGUGAUGGCUUGUUACCUUACUGUUGCCACCCAACACAAGGUAUUAGUCCUGCUCAGGAUAGAGGUUUCUCUUUUUAUGAAAUGGACAAUUUUUGACAAAUGAUCAGUCUUAGUCAUAAAACAGAUUUGAUUCAAAAUUGAUGAGCUUGCAGCUAAGAAGAAAAUCAACCAAGAAACUGCUUAUUUCCCCCCAAGAA